UGGUAAUGCCGGAUGCUCCGGUUGGAUGCAUGUCCUUCCGGGAAAGAUCCGUCGGUAUGGGAUGGGGUCGCGUCCUAUCAGCUUGAUGGCGGGGUAACGGCCCACCAUGGCUUCGACGGGUAGCCGGCCUGAGAGGGCGACCGGCCACAUUGGGACUGAGAUACGGCCCAGACUCCUACGGGAGGCAGCAGUGGGGAAUAUUGCACAAUGGGCGCAAGCCUGAUGCAGCGACGCCGCGUGCGGGAUGGAGGCCUUCGGGUUGUAAACCGCUUUUGAUCGGGAGCAAGCCCUUCGGGGUGAGUGUACCUUUCGAAUAAGCACCGGCUAACUACGUGCCAGCAGCCGCGGUAAUACGUAGGGUGCAAGCGUUAUCCGGAAUUAUUGGGCGUAAAGGGCUCGUAGGCGGUUCGUCGCGUCCGGUGUGAAAGCCCAUCGCUUAACGGUGGGUCUGCGCCGGGUACGGGCGGGCUGGAGUGCGGUAGGGGAGACUGGAAUUCCCGGUGUAACGGUGGAAUGUGUAGAUAUCGGAAAAGAACACCA
rnacentral:rRNA from 1 species